UACAGAGGGUGCAAGCGUUAAUCGGAAUUACUGGGCGUAAAGCGUGCGUAGACGGUUAUGUAGGUCGGGUGUGAAAGCCCCGGGCUCAACCUGGGAAUGCCAUUCGAGACUGCAUAGCUAGGGUGCGGAAGAGGGAAGCGGAAUUUCCGGUGUAGCGGUGAAAUGCGUAGAUAUCGGAAGGAACACCAGUGGCGAAAGCGGCUUCCUGGUCCAGCACCGACGUUCAGGCACGAAAGCGUGGGGAGCAAACAGG
rnacentral:rRNA from 1 species